rnacentral:rRNA from 1 species
GAUGAACGCUGGCGGCGUGCCUAAUACAUGCAAGUCGAGCGAAUGGAUUAAGAGCUUGCUCUUAUGAAGUUAGCGGCGGACGGGUGAGUAACACGUGGGUAACCUGCCCAUAAGACUGGGAUAACUCCGGGAAACCGGGGCUAAUACCGGAUAACAUUUUGAACCGCAUGGUUCGAAAUUGAAAGGAGGCUUCGGCUGUCACUUAUGGAUGGACCCGCGUCGCAUUAGCUAGUUGGUGAGGUAACGGCGCACCAAGGCAACGAUGCGUAGCCGACCUGAGAGGGGGAUCGGCAACACUGGGACUGAGAACAGGCCCAGACUCCUACGGGAGGCAGCAGUAGGGAAUCUUCCGCAAUGGACGAAAGUCUGACGGAGCAACGCGGCGUGAGUGAUGAAGGCUUUCGGGUCGUAAAACUCUGUUGUUAGGGAAGAACAAGUGCUAGUUGAAUAAGCUGGCACCUUGACGGUACCUAACCAGAAAGCCACGGCUAACUACGUGCCAGCCGCCGCCGUAA